UACAGAGGUCUCAAGCGUUGUUCGGAUUCAUUGGGCGUAAAGGGUGUGUAGGUGGCGCGCUAAGUCGGGUGUGAAAUUUCGGAGCUUAACUCCGAAACUGCAUUCGAUACUGGCGUGCUUGAGGACUGGAGAGGAGACUGGAAUUCAUGGUGUAGCAGUGAAAUGCGUAGAGAUCGGGAGGAACACCAGUGGCGAAGGCGGCUACCUGGACCAGCACUGACACUGAGGCACGAAAGCGUGGGGAGCAAACAGG
rnacentral:rRNA from 1 species